UUUGAACCUAUCAACAAUUUGCCCUGCUACUUUAAAGUCCUGCCAAGAACUCAGGACCUCAAGGUCUGGAGUGUAUAUAAAACCAAGGGUUUCCGAGCAAGCUGAAAUUCAAGUUGUGGUCCAAGAUGUCAAUAUUUUGGAGCAAGCCGAAAUUCAAGUUGUGGUCCAAAAUGUCAAUGUUUUGGAGCCAGCUGAAAAUCAAGUUGUGGUCCAAGAUGUCAAUGUAAAUUUCUAAGUUGUCAAAUUUUAGAUACUAAACUCUGUCAUUGAUUUAUAUGUGAUUAUUUUAUGUAGGCCAUAUGAUGUUUUAGAACAUGUUUUUUAUUUAUUUUUCAGGUUUUUUGGGGCCAGCUGAAAAUCAA